GGUAGUUCUGUUUACCUCGUAAGCUGUGUUCCUGGUUGCCAUCCUUCCCGGUGAUGCUCCGAGUGUUAAGUUCAUGACUUGAAACUGCUGGCAACACUGAGCAAAUAAGUGGCAAUAAAACAGCUGGCGGUGACAAUCCAGCAAAGUGGAA